UGGGGAAUAUUGCACAAUGGAGGGAACUCUGAUGCAGCAACGCCGCGUGCGGGAUGACGGCCUUCGGGUUGUAAACCGCUUUCAGCCAUGACGAAGCUUUUGUGACGGUAGUGGUAGAAGAAGCACCGGCUAACUACGUGCCAGCAGCCGCGGUGAUACGUAGGGUGCGAGCGUUGUCCGGAAUUAUUGGGCGUAAAGAGCUUGUAGGCGGUUUGUCGCGUCGAUAGUGUAAACACGCAGCUUAACUGUGUGCCUGCUGUCGAUACGGGCUUACUAGAGGAGGGUAGGGGAGAAUGGAAUUCCCGGUGGGGCGGUGGAAUGCGCAGAUAUCGGGAGGAACACCAGUGGCGAAGGCGGUUCUCUGGACCUUUCCUGACGCUGAGAAGCGAAAGCGUGGGUAGCAAACAGG
rnacentral:rRNA from 1 species